UAACAGUCCGGAAACGGGUGCUAAUACCGCAGUAGUUUUCUUGAUCGCAUGAUCGGGAAAGGAAAGACGGCCUUUGUGCUGUCGCUUAUGGAGUGGACCCGCGGCGUAUUAGUUAGUUGGUGAGGUAACGGCUCACCAAGACGAUGAUACGUAGCCGACCUGAGAGGGUGAUCGGCCACAUUGGGACUGAGACACGGCCCAAGCUCCUACGGGAGGCAGCAGUAGGGAAUCUUCCGCAAUGGACGAAAGUCUGACGGAGCAACGCCGCGUGAGUGAAGAAAAGGUUUUCGGAUCGUAAAACUCUGUUGUCAGAGAAGAACAAGUUGGAGAGUAACUGCUCCAGCCUUGACGGUAUCUGACCAGAAAGCCACGGCUAACUACGUGCCAGCCGCAGC
rnacentral:rRNA from 1 species